CCAUUCCACGACGUUGGAGAAUAAGCUUGGGCGUCUGGUCUGCAGCCUGCAUAUUCCUACUGCUUCUCUGAGUCUUCGGACUGUGACUGAGGAGAUAAACCAUGCAGGAGACAUUG